rnacentral:lncRNA from 1 species
UUUUGUUUUAGGGCCACACCCAUGGUAUAUGGAGGUUCCCAGGCUAGGGGUCUAAUCAGAGCUGCAGUUACUGGUCUAUGCCAUAGCCACAGCAACACCACAUCUGAGCCGCAUCUACGACCUACACCACAGCUCACAACAACACCGGAUCCUUAACUCACUUAGCGAGGCCAGGGAUCAAACCCGCAACCUCAUGGUUUCUAGUUGGAUUCAUUUCCACUGCACCAUGAUGGGAACUCCCAAAAUUUUAUUUUUAUUUUGUUAUUAUUUACUCAUACCAUAAAUCUACAUUGUAGCUAAUGAAGUAAGUCCUUAUUCUAUAAAAGUUUAAUAAAAUUUCUUAAUAUGUAAUAUAUCCCACUCAAUUCAAAUCUCAGCUGAACUGAAUAAUAUCAUUAUAAUAACCUAUUAAAUAUAUCAUUAACUUACUUGGCUGAGCUCUGACAGUAUAUUGGGAUACUUGCCAAUGUUUAACUGUAACAAACAGUAUUUAUGCUUAAGGUUUUAACAAGUAAAAAAUGGACCUAGUUCAGAGUCAUUAUAAGUUUUUAUUUGAUAUGCUGUUGUAAGGAGCUACAACAAUUAACAGGUAGUUAAUACAGGUUGGUUUAGGAUUAAAUACGGAUCUAGUUAUUUCCCUGAAGCUUUGCUGAGAUUCUGUGAUAAAUGUUUCUGUUACCAAAAACAAAACCAGGAUUAAAGUACGUCAACACUAUGAUGUCUGUUCUGUAUGGCUCUCUUCUUAUUUAAGCUAAGGACCCAUCUGCCUGAGAAUAAUCUCAUUAUAGUCAAUGAGCAUGAGCAGAUUCACUGUUAGCUCUUCUUGUCCUUUAUUUAUUUAUUUAUUUUUUUGUCUUUUUGACAUUUCUUGGGCCGCUCCUGCGGCAUAUAGAGGUUCCCAGGCUAGGGGUUGAAUCAGAGCUGUAGCCACCAGCCUACACCAGAGCCACAGCAACUUGGGAUCCGAGCCACGUCUGUGACCUACAGCACAGCUAAUAGCAACGCCGGACCCUUAACCCACUGAGCAAGGACAGGGAUUGAACCCGCAACCUCAUCGUUCCUAGUCGGAUUUGUUAACUACUGAGCCAGGACGGGAACUCCAUGGAUACUUUAAAUAAACUUUCAUGGUUGGCAAAAAUCAGCUUGAUACCUUCUCCACCAUUUUACAAUUCCCACUUGGGAUGAAAACACCUCUGGAAGGAAGAGGGGCUGCCAGUGCAGCAGGGCAGGCUCUGCAGACAUGAUUACAGGGCUGGAGAAACUUCUGCAUUACUCACUACAUGUCCUUGAGCCUUAUUCCUUCUAAUGACACUGUUAUGGUCUGUGGCAUCAGAUCCAGGGUGCUUCAGGAGUGCCCAAGAUCAGAUCCCUGACCUUGGCCAGCUCUAAUGAACUGAGUAACCAGACACAUGAGUCCUUUUGGCUCCCUGGCAUCCUGGGUUGCUUUGAAAUAUGACACCUGCUCGCAUUACUGUCCCAGUUAGGAGAACUUGUCCAUUUGGGGUUUCACUCCAGAUUCCUUUUAACGGUGUACGUUUUCUGAAAUGAACACAUACAUUUAUGGAACGAUUUUUUUCUGCUAACAAUUAGGGCAUAUGAAUUGUGCUUAUCUCCAAUAAAGAGGAGAAACAGUGACCAGAGGAAUCAAGAGUAUAAAGAAGAAAAAAUCAGAAUUACUUUUCAAUAAACAUCUCAGACUGAGUAACAAAUUACUGUAACAAUAAUACUUUAGAAAUAAUAACAUAGCUGGGAAGUAGAAAAGAUGGGAUUUGUUUUUUUAGUUUUAUGUAAACUUUUGGUAAUAAUCCCUGUAAUCCACUUAGGUGCCAUCCCUAAAAUAUCUUUGGGAAAUACACUGAGUGCUUUUAAUAAAAUUCUGACUCAUAUUUUACAUUACUCCUCUCAAGCAUUUUGCACUGCUCUAAGAGGACCGGCUCUCACAAUUAGCAAGACCCAAUUUAAAGAUGAGCGAAUUCUCAAAAAUUACUUAAAUUGAUGGUUUUCAACUACAUAAUUUACAAAGUCUCUUUCAGUUCUAAAAUUCCGUCAUUCCCUAACUAUGCCUUCUUACAUCUCAAAAGGAAGAUGAACAAAAUUAGGAUUAACUGUCUGUAAGUAAAACAGAUUUUCUCGAUAUCUGGCUCUUCCUCCCAGGCUGGUUCACCUGCACUUAGAGGAUCACAAGCUCACCUCCUCCAGUUUCAGUACCUUUGGUUCAAGUUCUUCAAGAGCUGACAUUCCUCCCUUUACGAAGGCACAACCUUGGCCUGGAGGUCACCAUCAUGAUCCAUCCCAGCCCUCAGCAUCGGUUUCAUGGGCACAUUACCUGAAUUCGUUCAAUAGGACACACCCUUUUCUUUCAAAGUUUUUGGGAAAAGGGACUUACACUCUGCUUGGAUAAGGAAAAUUUCGGCAUGAUGAUUCUGUCAACCAACAUGUUGGAAGAGGCUACUUUGGAGUAAAGUCAAUUCAGAGGAAGCACAGCAGAGUCCAGAAGUGGAUAGGGAGACCCACAGACACCAACCUAAUAACACUGGAGUCCUUGUACCCAGCUAU